rnacentral:lncRNA from 1 species
GUGUUCAUCCCCGUCAUAAUGUAUAGUGUCUGCCGCAUAUUUCCGAAGAACAUCACCUCCAGCCGCUUUCUCCUUUUACUUAUUUAUCAUACUAUCCAUGGUCUUUACUAAAUUAAGUGUUUUGACAGAUAAUCUGUCCCCCGAAUGAUACCAAGCCCAAUCAUCCAGCACUGAGAAUAUUUUGCGAGCCGCAGAGUAACGCACCAUACAUUGUAAAAGUGGGUAGAAAUCCCAAGCUACACCUUCCUGUUGUUUAGGGCAACUCUUUCGAAGAUACUUACCCACGUUCUUAAGACAACACUCAUAAAGCCCUUUUUCGACAUUAAGGGCACAAAAGAAGCUGACGCUAACUUGCUCUUCAGGUUUGCUGCCCGCUUGGGUAUGAUGAUUGAGCUAUGA